rnacentral:misc_RNA from 1 species
GUGCUACGGUUGGGCAUGUGCCCUCGGACGUCGCGUUUGAGGGUUCGUCCCCUGGCGGGCCGCUAGGGCGCCGCCGAGGCAGGGAGGGGUUCUGGCACGGGGUGUGAGGCGGGGCCCGGAGGCCCGCGGCGCUCUGUAAUGAUCCCUCCGCAGGUUCACCUACGGAGA